AAACAACGGAGCCCAUACAUCACAACACCAGGCCUUUGAGUGCAUCACUGGCUAACGAUCCAAUGCAACAGCCCAACAAGUUCAACUGACUGAUGAUCCACACAGAACACAGAAGGACUUCCAUUCCCUCCAUUGUGGGCAGGUACCAGUCCAGCCUACUGUACAUCUUAAUGAAAGAAAAGGAAGUUCAUUCACAGAAGUGGGAGUUUGACUCACUAAUCAGUUAAAACUUGCUGGGUUUGGCAUAGUGAGGGCUAUUACAUUAACCAACUGGGAUAAAGCAUAAAUAGAUUUUUGACUAUGCAGAGUUUUCUGGCAAAAAGGGAAAUAGGGCACAAGGUGUCCAAAGAAAAAAUUAUUGCCAGAAAAGCAACAAUAUUGGUCACUCCAUUUCGUUAAAAGGUAAUUUUCUAGAUUUAAUAAGAAUAAUCACUCUAAGAUUCCAAAUUUUUGAAAUCACAAAUGCUGUCAUCACCAGGGAUAUGAGAUGGGAAUGUUAUUUGUCCAUGGAUCCAAGAUUGUGUGGAGAUCUCCAAUCUUCUUCUAAGUAGCUCAUGAGUAACAACAAAAGGUUUGAAAACUGUAAUUGCACAAUAAAUGACAAAUUGCAUUUGAGAAAUUGAAAUUGGCUCCCUCAACUGCAGGCCUAGGUCUAUAUGAUUAUUGUAAACUAUUUAAUCUAUUUUACCCAAGGUGACUGACAUCGGACAAUUGAUAAUUAAUGUCCUAACGUUUAGACACUGUUGGAAGGGGAAUGCCACAGUGUGUCUACGUUUAGUAGCUUCUACCGUCGUCAAAAUUGUGUUACCCGUUCAGAUUUGGUGGUAUUCCACUCCUAACAAUACAUUCCCCAUUUAGUUCACAAUCUGCUGAGGCAGACAAAAAAACAAAAAAAAAAAGGUAUGUUGCUCUGGCCAGAGACGACUUCACCAAUAAGGACCAGUUGAGGUGUGGUUGUGAUCUUAAGGAAAAAUCUUGCAAUGAUCAGCAAAAUGGCUGGAGAGUGUGACACCUGGCAUCUGAUCCAAGCAUCUGAUCUUAAACUACACCAACCAGCCUCAGAAACCCCACACAGCAUAAAGUGAGGUAUCAAAGGUGCGUGCUGGUAACGCCCUCCCUCGCCAACGAGGGAAAGCCCAUUGCAACGGCUCGCAAAGAGUCACCCUGGUGAAGAUGGAAUGUCCAUGAGACGAACAAGAUGAUCAACACACCUGGAAGAAGAUGUGGACCAACUAAUGAUUAGCAGAAGAAAGUUUAGCAGAAGAAUCCAUUUGUGUGAUGAUGUUUUUUGAUGAUUUUAUUUGAUUCAUUUAAACUAUAGGGCUGAGUAUUGAUAUAGAUGAUUUGAUAAGUUACUGAUCCAUUUGAAAAUAUUUCAGGUAAAUAUAAAUCAAAAAGAGGAAAAUCUCUUAAUGCAGUAGACUAUAGGGACUAGGUACAUUAUUAUAAAAAUAUUAAAUAAUAGGGACUAUUAUUGAAGAAACCUGAGGGUUUUAAAAUCCUAAUGCAGACAUUACAACCAUAGAUGCUACAAAUUUUUAAUAGUUGCAAUAGUUUUUCUCUAAAUAAGUGAGAAUGUAUGAUAAGUCGCUUCGCCAGACUAGGUCCAAAUAUAGACCCUUUUCACAUUUAAACUUCUAUAGCGGUGAAUGAGAGACUACAUUAAAUACAUAUAUUUUUUGUUCCCAUUUGCUCCAAUAGCAAAGGAAAAACUCUGCAAUAGUGUUUUCAGAACUAAAUUUAAAAACUUUAAAGAAAAUGAGAGACUGAUAACAGCAGUCAAAAGAGAGAAAGAUGUCAAUUUUUCCCAACAUUUGACCAUAGCCACUGUAUUAGAAACACCCUCACAGCAGUGUUAACCAGUUCUCUUUUUUUGUAAUCUGAUGCAAAGAUAAAAUAAUACUGAGUAUUCUUAUAAUUGUAAAAACAUUGCAGGAUUUACGAUGCUGAUGACCGUUAAACCACAUCAUCACAGUCUGUGAAAAAGCUAUGAAUAUUCUCGUUCAAUCUGAUUAAAGCUCGCAAUACAGGGCAAAAAGAAAAUCUGACUAAUCCUGUAAAUCUGUGAAAUAAUGAUUAUAGAAAAGACACCCAGUGUUUAUAGGAAAUUUUUUAAAGUAGUGAAAUCAUAAUAUGACUUGCAAAGUGACACAGGAGAUUGAUUUGUAAGGGAAACACAUUUUAUUUCUAGAUUAUUAUUAUUUAAAUGGCAUAACCAAAUUCCUGACAUAUUGAUAAAGAUUUUAAUGUUUUAUUAAAAUUCAGAGAAUGAAUUAAAACAAGUUAUGUAGGGUUCACAAAACUAAAACCUAGACCAAGCAAAAUGUGACCCAAACAUGUUAAACCAAAUGAAUCUGAACAGUUUGGACAUCCCAGCAAAAUAGAGUAAUUCAAACAGGAAAAGUUUGAAAAGCUUUCUUGAACUCGCAAUGUGUUUACCGAGUCGAUGAUCUGGAUCAGUGGAUCCACUAUGAACUAUUCUGCUUUGCAGAAAUUACAUAAACUGACUGUGAGUUAGUUUAAAAUAGAGGUAGUAUAUGUCAUGCCCAUCAGUUGACUCUGGAAAAUAGGAUUGUAGGGAGGUCGAUAAAGAUUUAAUUCCAUGUCAACAGCUAAGGCUAUUCUUAUGACAAGAGCUGGGUUAUACAGAGUUCAUUUUGAAGCAAUGCAAAAUUAGACAAGAUAUUUGUGUUAAUGAUAAAAAUGAUAUUAUUUAAAGACCCUCUGUGGUGAAAAUUAAGUUCUUAAUGUUGUUUAUAUGUCUAUAUGGUGUUUUUUUUUUUUUAAUAUGCUCUCAGACAAUGUGCAGAUUCAUAAGUCAACACCAUUGGUAGUAUUUUCACCUUAAAAGUCCAGUGAACCAAAGACAGUUGCAAAAAAAAAAAAAGCGGUUUGAAAUCCUGGUGUUUCUGACAUCACAAACUACCUUGUAACUGGUGUGUGGGCAGGUUUUAGCAUAUCAUUACUAUGCUGCAAACAGGGGUGUCUCAAGAGAAACCAUGCCUGUACAUAUUAAACAGAAAAUACAAACUUUGCUAAAAUGAUUGUUUUGAAAAUAUUAACACAGACAUUAUUAAAAACAUAUUAUUUUA